CAUUCUUAGUCGACAACUUCUCAUUCUUUUGCCUAAUUAAACUCUAAACAGCCUAAAAGAGCCAUUCAGUUUGGUACAAGAAUUGCAAGGGAAUCAAAUCGAAAGAACUUUGGAAGUAACCGUGCAGCAAACCAAGCAUCUGCAGGUGUUUGCCAAAGUGGAUGACCUGCAGCUGCUUGUUUUGUAAUGAACCUGGUCUGUCUUCAAGUUUUGAUCCAGUGUUUGAUGGCAAAGCUUUGUUUUCCACCACAAGCUUGUUUUACAUUAGUGAGAAAUUAGUGUCAGUAGACAUUGUGCUGGUAAUAAAUUUUUACACAAAAUGGGUAUUUUGCAAUUUUUGACAUUAUGUUCAUCUGUUUAUUUUUAUACUUUUAUUAAAUUCUUAAUUGGUGUUU